UUAGUACUCCCUCCAUCCCAAANNNNUUGUCUUAGAUUUGUUUAGAUAUAAAUGUAUCUAGUCAAGUUUUAGUAUUUAGAUACAUCCAUUUCUAAACAAAGUUAAGACAAGAAUUUUGGAAGGGAGGGAGUACUCA
rnacentral:pre_miRNA from 1 species